CAGAUUGAACGCUGGCGGAAUGCUUUACACAUGCAAGUCGAGCGGCAGCGCGGGGGCAACCCUGGCGGCGAGCGGCGAACGGGUGAGUAACAUAUCGGAACGUACCCCGUCGUGGGGGAUAACACAGCGAAAGCUGUGCUAAUACCGCAUACGACCUGAGGGUGAAAGCGGGGGAUCGCAAGACCUCGCGCGAUGGGAGCGGCCGAUAUCGGAUUAGCUUGUUGGUGAGGUAAAGGCUCACCAAGGCGACGAUCCGUAGCUGGUCUGAGAGGACGACCAGCCACACUGGAACUGAGACACGGUCCAGACUCCUACGGGAGGCAGCAGUGGGGAAUUUUGGACAAUGGGGGCAACCCUGAUCCAGCGACGCCGCGUGUGUGAAGAAGGCCUGCGGGUUGUAAAGCACUUUAGUGGGAUGUAAAAGACUCAGUCUAAUACAGCUGGUCUUGACUAACCCAAAGAAAAACGACACCGG
rnacentral:rRNA from 1 species